GUCCAGGGUAGCCUAGUGGACAUGGCAUCUGCCCGGUAAGCGGAACACUGUGGGUUCGAUUCCCAUCCCCGGACA
rnacentral:tRNA from 1 species